rnacentral:snRNA from 1 species
AACAGAAAAAAGACCGUAAUCCUU